rnacentral:lncRNA from 1 species
GCCACUGCAGACACAGCAACAAGGACUACAAACAGGAGUGCAGUUAUAAAGGACGCCACCACAGCUCCACUAACGCGCUGGCAGAAGUCGUUGAACUGUCGACAGAUCGCCACCCAAUUUGCGUCCGAGUUGCCAUUGUGUGCCAAGUAGACUAUUGACGCAGCCGCUGAUGCAGCAGCAGUCACCAAUGGCACUGCAACCUUGUCGAAAACAAGGAGCAUCAACCUAGCUCCUAAGAUAUGUGGUCGAACGAUGCACAAGAUAGAAA